CCAAUAGCGUAUAUUAAAGUUGUUGCAGUUAAAAAGCUCGUAGUUGAAUUUCGGAAUCUGUCCGUCGGUCGGGCUUCACUGUCCGUACUGGUGUGGUGGGUUCUUACCUUCUGAAUAACCAGCAUGCCAUUAAUUUGGUGCGCUGGGGAAGCAGGACUAUUACCUUGAAAAAAUUAGAGUGCUCAAAGCAGGCUAGUGCCGGAAUACAUUAGCAUGGAAUAAUAAAAUAGGACGGCAUGGUUCUAUUUUGUUGGUUUCUAGGAUCACCGUAAUGAUUAAUAGGGAUAGUUGGGGGCAUUAGUAUUCAAUUGUCAGAGGUGAAAUUCUUGGAUUUAUUGAAGACUAACUUCUGCGAAAGCAUUUGCCAAGGAUGUUUUCAUUAAUCAAGAACGAAAGUUAGGGGAUCGAAGACGAUCAGAUACCGUCGUAGUCUUAACCAUAAACUAUGCCGACUAGGGAUCGGACGAUGUUAAUUUUUUAAUGACUCGUUCGGCGCCUUACG
rnacentral:rRNA from 1 species